AACGAACGCUGGCGGCAUGCCUAACACAUGCAAGUCGAACGAGACCUUCGGGUCUAGUGUCGCACGGGUGCGUAACGCGUGGGAACCUGCCCUUAGGUUCGGAAUAACUCCCCGAAAGGUGUGCUAAUCCCGGAUAAUUACUUCGGACCAAAGAUUUAUCGCCUUUGGAUGGGCCCGCGUUGGAUUAGCUAGUUGGUAAGGUAAAAGCCUACCAAGGCGACGAUCCAUAGCUGGUCUGAGAGGAUGAUCAGCCACACUGGGACUGAGACACGGCCCAGACUCGUACGAGAGGCAGCAGUGGGGAAUAUUGGACAAUGGGCGAGAGCCUGAUCCAGCAAUGCCGCGUGAGUGAUGAAGGCGUUAGGGUUGUAAAGCUCUUUUACCCGGGAUGAUAAUGACAGUACCGGGAGAAUAAGCACCGGCUAACUCCGUG
rnacentral:rRNA from 1 species